ACCCGGCUGGCUCAGUUGUUGGGGCAUGUGACUGUUGAUCUUGGGGUUGUGAGUUUGAGCCCCACGUUGGGUG
rnacentral:tRNA from 1 species